rnacentral:rRNA from 1 species
UGGGGGAAGUUUUCCGUCAAUGGGCGGAAAGCCUGACGGAGCAAUGCCGCGUGGAGGUGGAAGGCCUACGGGUCGUCAACUUCUUUUCUCGGAGAAGAAACAAUGACGGUAUCUGAGGAAUAAGCAUCGGCUAACUCUGUGCCAG